GAUCAUUCUACCAUUGUUAUGUUCACAAUCUAAUCUAAAUCUAUUAAUAACACAACUUAAAUGAAUAGUGAUUUGAAGUCAUGUUUAGAUGUGAAUGGACAAUUUGGGCGGUUCUUCACACGUCACCCCGCUUCUUUCCUAAUCACCUCCCCUUUUACCCCCUUUUCUCCCCCACCGCCUGCUUUGGAUCAUCCAGGACUUCCACCACUGAUUUCGAUCUCAAUAUACACAUAAAACCAGAUUACUUCCCAUAUUGAUGAUGUUUAUUCUUGAUUUGAUUUGGUUCAUGUAGCCAUGAAAUCCCACAUCACGGUACACAACUGUUUCCAAUAUCCCCAAAUUCUUAAUUAUAUCGAUGCGAUUCAUAAAUCAUAAUCUUGAUUCUGUUUGUUUCGUGCUUGAGAAUCUACACGAUGAUUCCGAUUACAAUUGUUCAACGAGCCACCACUUUUGACGAUUAUUAAUACUCUUGCCGAAACGCGAGUUGUCGGAACCCUAAUUUUCUGUCACCAGCAGGUGGAUGUGAUGGAGAGAAACGCAUGCCUACACGUUGCCAGUGGUCAUGUUCGGCCGCCUUAGGUGGCGUGUGUGUUGCGGCGUUGUCUUCUUGGGUCAGUGACUGUGAGAGUCUGAUAGAGAGAGAAAGCAGUGAUGAGAAAAUUGGGUAAAUGAUUAAGUUCGAUUUUUUCAAAAUGGCGGUCUGGUUAUUCUCAAGGUUUUGAUCGCUUUGUUCUUCACGGUGGUAAGUUACAUACAAUUUCUGAUUUAGUUUUUGUUCUUCAUGGUUUGAUUCAAGUUGUUGUUGUUUGAUUGGAAAUCAAAUUAGAUUUGUUGUUUGAUAUAUCUGUUAAUAACACAACUUAAAUGAAUAGAAUUUUGAGUCGUGGUUCGAUUUGAAUGGGCAAUUUGGGCAGUUCUUCACACGUCACCCGCUUCUUUCCCAUUUCGUGAUACCGUAUUCGUGUCACUAGGUUAAUCACGGUUCUGUGACUUAUGUUUGGCUCUGUUGGAUUAUUGUUCGAAUUUGGGAAAUGAAAUUGGGAUUACGCGCUUCUUUCCCAUUUCGUGAUACCGUAUUCGUGUCACUAGGUUAAUCACGGUUCUGUGACUUAUGUUUGGCUCUGUUGGAUUAUUGUUCGAAUUUGGGAAAUGAAAUUGGGAUUACGGUUCUGUACCGGCAAAUAGAUUGAAAACAAUCAAGUCUAUCCCUAUUUAAAUACAUGAGUCUAAACCCAUUUAAUGUGGUUCGGUUGGGUCUGACUUCGAUCUGGUAACCAAAAUGGGGACUGUUUGUAAGUUAGUCGUUGUUUUUGCAACACCCGUUGCAGCCAUUAUCAACCCAGUUAUAUUUACCGGACAUGUUGGAAUUAAAGGUAUAUGGAACUGAAAGUUAUAUUCGGCCGUUACAUCCCGAGUUCGUUUGCCGGCUAUGAUGACUUUGGUAAAAAAUAGGUAUGAUGUUGCAUAGCAAGGAUGGUGAGUGCACUGUUUGCUACUAGCAACCUGUUAUGCAGCCAUCAGAACCUCAAUACUGAUUCUGAGCCGUCAACUACAAGUCAUUAACAAACCAAAACGAGUUCCGGUUCAGUAACCAACCUCAUUAAAGUGAGUGAAUCAUCCGUAUAAACGAAUUGGUAGAAAAUGGAAAAAACGGUUUCAUAUAACUUUAAUGACUACAAUUGGCAGUCGUUGGGGUGUUGUGAUUCAGCAAACGCCAGAUUUCCUGAAUCUAAACCCAAUCAAAUAUGUUAAGAAAGAGUUUAUUCAAUAAAGUACUAAAAUAUUUUUUUUCAUCCUCACAAACUGAUCCAAUUUAGACGCAAUUCAUAUCUGAUGACUUGCUUAUGUGUGAUUAUAAUUUAGUUUUGACACUUGAAGUUAUGAAGUUUAGGUUUAAAUGAUUAAGAUUGAUAGGAUUGUUGUUGAAGUGUGGGGGUGGUGAGUGUGUGUGGGUAUUAGUAUUUGUUUAUCAAUCUGUUUUGAAAACAAUGGAUCACAUAAGUUGGCUGCGGCCGAAGAAGUCAUUGGAGAAAAGCCCCAUUGAUGAAAGCUCGGGCGAAUCCAUGUCUUCUUAUUCCGAUAGAUUCUCUGGUGAUCAGAGGAUGGAGGCGGAAUGUAUUCGGGUGAACUUGAGAUAAUCAACAAGUAAAACAACACCAUGGCCCGGGGUAAUGUAAAUCCUUUUCCAACACUUCUCAUGUUAUUGGGUGUUUCAGAGGUUAUUCGGUUUGCCAAUAUAUACAAGUGAAGGCAUUAGUGUCAUUAGCGCCACAAAGAAGACUAGGUACCAGACGCAUGAAGAAAAAAAAAACUUUUGUGAUCUAUGUUAAAACCGUACUAUAAUUCACAUCAGCAACUUUUGCGUAUAAACUUCAUUGGCAUAAGCAAAAUGUUCAUAUCGAGAACGAUUUGGUUUAGCGCGCCGCAACGCGCGCGUGGGUAUGAACCUAGUUUUAAUGAAAAAUCAGCUGUUCCACACGGUUUAGUA